rnacentral:lncRNA from 1 species
UUCGCUAAGUUUAACGAGCCGAACUUAAACUUGAACAUUCCAAGUAUAAAUCUUCUUAUCAAGCCUAAAACUCAAGCUCGGCUCGGCUCAAUCGGCUAGAAGUAUAAAAAAAUAAAAAAUAAAUAUUAUGUUUAGAGAAAAUGAAAAUGUAACAUAGAUGAUAAAACGUUUGCUAAACAUGUGAGAGGUUACGGAUUCGAUCUCCUAUGUCUUCAAAUUAUUUCUUUUAACCUGCAGGUUAUGUUUGAACCCGGACUCGAACCCAGACGAGGGAACUGCGUUGCCGAACGUCAUAGUACGUAUCCACAUGCUAAACAGUGCAACGUAUGGACGACCUCCGAUAUUCGAAAUGACCCUUAUACGAUGCUCGGCGAGGGAUGUCCGCCUCACCUCAAUUGUCGCAUCUUCUGCGCGACGACGGCCGACGAGAGUUAUUCCCGAUCGUGCGUCCAUACCUCCCUCUCACAACCCAUACUAAUCCAGGGUAAUCUUAUCGUUCUCGUCAAAUUUCAAUGCUCGUCGACGUCUCGACAAGUUGCCGUCCAAGGUCGAACCUAUUUAAAUCCAUCGUAAAAUUCCAUUCAGCGGCUGAUAGGCGAUCAAUUCUCCCUCCAACUGGUCGACGACUCUGCCAUCCGACGUAUCCCAUUUCUCAAACGUAGUAGGUAUCAUCACGUCCUCGUCAUAAAUUUAAUUUGGCAUUUGCUAAAUGACAAUUAAUCUUAUCAUCUUCGUAUUGUUCCAAAUGUUUAAUUUCAUUCUGUCUUCCACUCGAACGCAAUUUCAUUCCGUCAUGUGCCUGAUUUCGUCUUGUUCACGUAAAAAGUAAAAUUUUACUCUUAUAGUUAAACAUAUAGAUAGGGUUAAAUUUGAAAAUAUACCAAUUAUAACUGUAUAGAUAAGUGUAAGGUUUAUUUUAUAUCUCUCUAAUUCUUUAUAGUUCAUACCGUCUUCAUAUCCUACAUCUAAUUUCAUGACAUUUCUUGAGAUCGUUUGUCUGCUUCCUCUUUUCCCUGCACUAAUUAAUCAAUUCUUAACAAUUGCACUUAUAUUUCAUCUGCUCGGACUCAAUUUCAUUCCGUCAUCUGCAUGAUUUCAUUUUGUUCAUACCUCAAUUUUUUUUAAGUCUGUAAAAUUCCAACAAACUUGCUCGAACACAUGUUCAAGUCAUGGUUUUUAAUUAAGUGUAUCAUGUGUUUGCCUGAAUAUCAAACAUAUCGGUAUCUUUAUCUGUUUUUUAAGUCUAUCAUGUCAUGUUUAAGUCAUAUAGGUGUCAAACAUGCAUGUUUAAGCCAUGUUUUGAAAGUAAAAUUACACAUGGACUGUAUGUAUUUAGUAAGUGUCUUUUUGUACUGUCGUCUAUGAUUAAGAUUUCUUUGAAAUGAACAUGAACAUGCUUUUCAUCCUUUCUUACAUUAACAGAUUUCUUUGAAAUGAACAUGCUUUUCAUCCUUUCUUACAUUAACAGAUUUCUUUCCUAAUUUAGGUUAGUAAAUGAGUUGGAGAAAAAGAGAAGAUGAGAUGAACUACCCUAUCCGUAGGAGAAGGGAAAAUGAUCAUGAAGUCAUCCCCAACACCUCAGACAAGACAUUUCACCCAUACGAUCUUGCGAUAUGCGAGGGCACUGGUCAUUCAAGAGGAAGAACAUCAUUAACAGAGGUCAAUCGUCUCGGGGACCACAAUCUGUUGGUCACAUCUCCACGUAGAUAGAUCCAUACCUCCCACAUGUCAUAGCCACUCCACCACCACCAAUAUACUUCCCACAGCUCGAGGAACCUGUGGAAUUAUCUGAAUAUCGCCUAUCUCAACCCUCUUAUCAUAUGUCUCAUUGCCCUCAAUAAAAAUCUUUAGAUAGUAAGGCAAACAAGUUCAAUGACCUCACCAAACCUUAGAUUAUUUUCAAAAAAAAACCAUUCAAGCUGAAUACGUCCAAGAAAUUAAAUCAACGUAUGCAGCAAUAUCACUAAACUUGGUCAGCAUCACAUAAAAACACACUGAAAAAAAAACUAUUAAGAGAAUAAUAAAAAUUCAAAGCA